rnacentral:misc_RNA from 1 species
UUUCCGUAGGUGAACCUGCGGAAGGAUCAUUAACACGUACAAAAUGUUCCAAAACCUUUUUGGAUCAACGCCAACCUUUGAAAAGGCGAACCUAGUUGUAUUUUUCUCCUUUUUCUAUUUUGUUUUUCUCAAACGCAACUUCUCAUGGAAAUUGACUAGAAUCGUGUGAUUUGUUCCAAUCCUAUCACCUCUUUCUCCUCUCCCUCUCCUCUCCUCGUGGGAUGAGAUGGGAUGUGAGAUGGGAGAUGGGGGGUGGGUUUGGAACUAACCAUUCCUAACGCUAAAACAACUCUUAACAACGGAUAUCUUGGCUCUC